rnacentral:rRNA from 1 species
UGGGGAAUUGUUCACAAUGGGCGCAAGCCUGAUGACGCAACGCCGCGUGGGGGAUGAAGGUCUUCGGAUUGUAAACCCCUGUCGAAUGGGACGAAAGACUCGCGAGUUAAUACUUCGCGGGAGUGACGGUACCGUUAAAGGAAGCCACGGCUAACUCUGUGCCAGCAGCCGCGGUAAUACAGAGGUGGCAAGCGUUGUUCGGAAUUACUGGGCGUAAAGCGUGCGCAGGUGGCUGUGCAAGCCAGGCGUGAAAUCCCCGGGCUCAACCUGGGAAUGGCGCUUGGGACUGCACGGCUAGAGUGCGGCAGAGGGAGCUGGAAUUCCUGGUGUAGCAGUGAAAUGCGUAGAGAUCAGGAGGAACACCGAUGGCGAAGGCAGGCUCCUGGGCCAGCACUGACACUCAUGCACGAAAGCGUGGGGAGCAAACAGGAUUAGAUACCCUUGUAGUCCCUGAGCGGGCUGGCAAGGCGCAU